UAGGAUGGGCCUCCUCCAUGUACAUUUAUUGUAAAAUGAGGUCUAGUAGAGUUGGGGUACAAAAUAAGCACCAAAAUAAGAUGACAAACCCUAAACAGCUUCCCUCUUCAUUCUUUGUAACUUUUUUCUCUCUAUUACUUUUGCAGUCGCCAUAUCUUAUAUUCUCCAUCGACGGAUCUGAGACUGGGAAAAAGGAAAAGGCCCUGAGGUCCGAAGAAGUCCAAUACUACAGAAAAAGACUAAGCCAAAGGGUGUCACCGCCGCAAAACCGACGGGAAGCGGUGGCUGGUUGUGCAAGCAAUUCAAUCAUCUACUCAACAGCCACCCGCUCCUGACAGAACAUCGCGCUGGACAUCCCACCACUACGAAACCCACUAAAAAUGCGAAGCCAAAGAUGUUUAGGAAGGCGGUGCUUAGGGGUGAGCAAGAACCGAACCAAACCGAAAAAUCAAACCGAACUGAAUAUUGAUGUUUGGUUUGGUUUUUCGGUGAAAACGGUUUGGUUUAGUUUCUACUCUAGGUAAAGUUUGGUGUUCGGU